rnacentral:rRNA from 1 species
UACGUAGGGGGCUAGCGUUAUCCGGAAUUACUGGGCGUAAAGGGUGCGUAGGUGGUUUUUCAAGUCAGGAGUGAAAGGCUACGGCUCAACCGUAGUAAGCUCUUGAAACUGUAAAACUUGAGUGCAGGAGAGGAGAGUAGAAUUCCUAGUGUAGCGGUGAAAUGCGUAGAUAUUAGGAGGAAUACCAGUUGCGAAGGCGGCUCUCUGGACUGUAACUGACACUGAGGCAAGAAAGCGUGGGGAGCAAACAGG